UCCGCAUCGCCCUGGGCCGCGGCCAGGCUGAACCACUUGAAGGAUUCAGCGAGGUUCUGCUCCACGCCGAUGCCGCGGGCGUAGAGGAUUCCGAGAUUGUAUUGGCUGGUCCGUUCGGCUGCCUUGCGGAACCAUUGCGACGCGCUCUUGUAGUUCGGUCCCGCGCCGCCGCCAUCGGCAUCGAGCACGGCAAGGUUAUGCAUGGCCUUGGCGCUGCCCUUCUCGGCGGCCUGCACGUAGUAGCCGC
rnacentral:misc_RNA from 1 species